CCCGGAUAAAUGGGGAGGGUUGCGUCAGGAAUGGCAUCCGGCGUAAAACGUUUGCCAAAACGAACAUGCGAGUUGAUAAAACGAUUUCCAUACUGGAUCGGUCGGGGCCCAGGAUAAAAACGACCGCUAACAGUGCUGUUCACCUACAGGGUACAGGAGACAAAGUGGAAGGGCAGCAAGGCUAGAAACAUUGGAGGAGGCUACAAGCUGUUCUACCAUGGUGUAGAUGGGAAGAGGAAUGGAGUAGGGGUGAUUAUAAAGGAAAAAUAUGCUAGACAUGUCGUAGAAGUAAAACGAGAGUCAGACAGGUUGAUGUGCGUGAAGGUAGAGAUAGAAGGUGUGAUGAUGAAUGUAGUCAGUGGGUAUGCCCCACAGGUGGGCUGUGAGUUAGAAGAAAAGGAAAAGUUCUGGAAUGAGAUGGAUAGAGUGACAGAGAGCAUUCCCAGGGGGGAGAGGGACAGAGAAAGUAGUGAUGGGA